rnacentral:lncRNA from 1 species
CUCUCUAUAAUAAAUCGUUUCUUAUCUUGGCAUUUUAAUCAAUCUCUUGUCAUGAUUAUAGAGGUUUAGCUAAAAGUAUUUUUUCUUAGAAGACAGGUUCUAUAAACUGAAUCUCUGUUGCACACUGGUCAUGCUGGAAAAACAUUUGAUGAGGAAUGAAGAUGCUCUGUAUAUACAUGUUUAGGUUUUACAGGAAACACAGGAGUAGCAUGUUUUAAAAAUUUCUAAAGUCAAAACAUGGACACAUUCACAGGCUAAUGAUCUCAUGAAAUAAGGAUAAGAGACCACGGUAGCAUCUACCAAAAAUGUGAUACUCAAAGGAUUACAUUUCAUUGCUUCCCUGUUGAAGUGAAGAUAUAAAUGUUCCAUUCUGACCCACCUUUGAAAAACAAUUACUUUGCCCCAUGGAUUCUUUGUUCAAUUAGAAAUUUCCCCGGGGCAGGUGACCCAUAGUCUUAAAGAACAGGCUAAACACCACAGAGAGAUUGGUUGCUUUUUGCUUUUCAUCACCUGCAAGAUGUACAUAAAAAUCACAUAAGCUGGAAUUCAACAAAAGACCUCUGACUAUGUGAAGAUACGGUGGGAAGAUGACUGACCGCAAGACAGGAAGAGAGCCCUCACCGAGGAACCAAAUUGGCCAGUAUCUUGAUUUUGGAUUUCUCAACCUCAAGAACCAUGAGAAAUGAAUGUCUGCUGUUCAAGCCACCCAGUCAAUGAAAAAGUUUGGAAACCUUCAUCUAGAAAGUGGUCUAGCAAAGUGUGGUCCAUGGAUGAGUUUGAUCUGCAAACUGCUUGUUAUUGGUUCAUGACAAGGUGAGUACAGAAACUGUGAAUAAU